rnacentral:rRNA from 1 species
UACAGAGGGGGCAAGCGUUGUUCGGAAUUACUGGGCGUAAAGGGCGCGUAGGCGGCCUGUUAAGUCGAACGUGAAAUCCCCGGGCUCAACCCGGGAACUGCGUCCGAAACUGGCAGGCUCGAAUCCGGGAGAGGGAUGCGGAAUUCCAGGUGUAGCGGUGAAAUGCGUAGAUAUCGGGAGGAACAUCAGUGGCGAAGGCGGCCUUCUGGUCCAGUACUGACACUCAAGUGCGAAAGCGUGGGGAGCAAACAGG